rnacentral:tRNA from 1 species
CAAAAGCCCCCCGCUUACACCGAGGAACUAUCUGUUUAACUCAGAUUAUUUUGA